rnacentral:rRNA from 1 species
GACAGAGGGUGCAAACGUUGUUCGGAAUUACUGGGCGUAAAGCGCAUGUAGGCGGCCACGCAGGUCGGAUGUGAAAUCCCUCGGCUCAACCAAGGAAGUGCAUACGAAACCGCAUGGCUGGAGUCCCGGAGAGGGUGGCGGAAUUCUCGGUGUAGAGGUGAAAUUCGUAGAUAUCGAGAGGAACACCGGCGGCGAAAGCGGCCACCUGGACGAGGACUGACGCUGAGAUGCGAAAGCGUGGGGAGCAAACAGG